rnacentral:rRNA from 1 species
UAGGGAAUCUUCGGCAAUGGACGAAAGUCUGACCGAGCAACGCCGCGUGAGUGAAGAAGGUUUUCUGAUCGUAAAACUCUGUUGUUAGAGAAGAACAAGGACGUUAGUAACUGAACGUCCCCUGACGGUAUCUAACCAGAAAGCCACGGCUAACUACGUGCCAGCAGCCGCGGUAAUACGUAGGUGGCAUGCGUUGUCCGGAUUUAUUGGGCGUAAAGCGAGCGCAGGCGGUUUCUUAAGUCUGAUGUGAAAGCCCCCGGCUCAAGCAGGGAGGGUCAUAGGAAACUGAGAGACUUGAGUGCAGAAGAGGAGGGUGGAAUUCCAGGUGUGGCGGUGAAAUGCGUAGAUAUAUGGAGGAACACCAGUGGCGAAGGAGGCUCUCUGGUCUGUAACUGAGGCUGAGGAACGAAAGCGUGGGGAGCAAACAGG